ACUGGGGCCGUGUCGAGUGGUGGCACUGCCAGCCCUGCAGUGGGAUGUAGCCUGGAAACUCCCCAGAUCUGAGCCAAGGGAUUUAAAGGGACCAAGCAAGGGAGGUGAAGAAACAAGGAAGAAGGGAGCUGAGGCAUCAGCCAAGUAGCACCAAGUUCCUGUGUAAGCAGGGAAUAACUCCUGUCAGCAGCAAGGGCCCGACUGAAGUGGCAGCUGCAGUUUUUCCUGUGGUGUGGGCCAGUGGAAUUGCAGGAGAGUGGAAGAGGGCAGAACCUGUAGGUAUUACCCCUAAUGUGGGAUCUCUCCUGGUAAGGCCAAGCCAGUAUCCUUUAAAAUCAGAAUGCCAGCUUGGAUUGGUUGCAGGAACAGCUAAAUUUGCUCC